GGACUAUUGAUAAAAGCAUAAACAAACCUAAUUUUAUAUAUUUUUAUUUUUACAUUUGCAUGAUCACUUAUGAAAUAUGAAGAAUCCUUUGAUACAAAUCAUCCCAAAAUCACCACAGAUGAAGUAAAAACAUAAAUGCAGGAGAUGAUUAUGCAUUUGCCUAUCCCAAAAAAUAAUUAAAAAGAGAGUAUCAAGUGUUGUUAGAAUCAAAAGAUAAAUAAAAUCAAAGAGCAAUGCAUCUCCAACUAACAUUUCCUAUUUCAUCUCCUCUCUUUUCAGGAAGUUCAAAUUAUAGGGGACCAAAAUUAUCACUGUGGCUUUUACCUACCGCUACAGAAACUUGCUUAAGCCUUCCAAAGCUAUAAUAAUUUCUAAGUGCUAAAUCUCCAUGCAACAAGCAAUUCCAAAAUUGCAUUCAUAGGGGAGAAUAUGAUCUGAUCACUGACCUGGCCACCAAUAUAUGAAUAGAGAAAGAUAAUGUACAUGCAGUUAUCUUCGACUAUUCGCUGUCUUCCCCUUGCUUAGAUCUGCAAGCUCCUCAAUGAGCUUUCUUUCUUCACUGCCCAAUCUUUUUGGAAUUUCAACUUGUACGCGAACCAACUGAUCACCCCUCAUGUUGCUUUUGUUGAGCACUGGGACUCCUUUCUUUGCCAUCACAAGUGUUGUAUUCGGCUGAGUUCCAGCUGGGAUUUUGAGAUCGACCAUACCAUCAACUGUUGGUACCUUAAUCGUUGUACCCAAAAUUGCAUCUAUAUAUGACACUUUGCAUGUGUACAAGAUGUUGAUGUCAUCGCGUUUUAAUACAGGGUCUGGGAUGACUUCAAUAAUAACAAAGAGGUCGCCAGGUGAUCCACCUCUCUUUCCAGCAUUACCUUCAGAUCGCACCCUCAAACGGCUUCCAGAGUCCACACCAGCUGGCACUUUCAAACUGAUACGUUUUGUUCUCCUUACCCGUCCAUCCCCAGAACAUGUGUUGCAAGGGGUAAAUGUUUCCCCAGUCCCCCCACAUGAAGAGCAGGUCAUUACCUGCUGAAAGACGCCUAAUGGAGUCCUUGCUGAUGAAACAACCUGACCUUGGCCGCCACAUGUACUACAUCUAGAUGGUGUUGUCCCAGGUUUUGCGCCUGAACCGUUGCAGGUGCCACAGCUCUCGAGUCGGGUUAUCUCAAUCUCUUUUUCAACCCCAAAAACUGCUUCCUUAAACAUUAAGAUAAGAUUGUAAUAUUCAUCCUGACCAUCGACUGCUCUACUCCGGGAAGCUCUGCCCCCCAUGCCGCCCAUACCUCCCAUUCCUCCCAUGCCCUCAAAUAGUGACUCAAACAAAUCAAAAGGAUUGCUGAAAUCCUGGUAUAUCAAAGCAACAUAUCAAACAAUGUGAAGGCAGGAGAUGAAAAAAUGAUGACAAAAUAUGAAAUCUAGAUGCCAUGAUCUCACGCUUCAUUCGUUGAAAUUAACUUACCCCCAUGCCCAUACCAGCACCUUUAAGUCCAGCCUCACCAUACCUGUCAUACAAAGAUCGUUUCUCAUCAUCUGAUAAGACCUCAUAUGCAUUGCUAAUUUCCUUAAACUUCUGCUCUGCCCCAGAUUCUCUGCAUCAAAGGAUAGAAUAUAAUUCAAACAGGUCUGACAGGACAAUAUUCACAAAAACAGACCUUGAAUAGCAUUAUGUUCUAUGCAACUUAAUUAGAAAAGCAACUGACUUUUGCAGAUCUAUAACUAUAACUCUUGUUAUUUUAGGUUCUCCUCCAAUGCAAAUGGAUAUAUUUAAAUACAAAAUCUGAAAAAAAGGAUUUUGUAUCACUUUUAACCCCUGCGACUCUAAGCAAGGUGCAAUCCUUUAUUUCCAAAUUUCUUACUAAUGCUAACACUAUAGUCCAUAUGUGCCCCGAAGAUGAACCCCCCUUCAUCUUAUACCCAUACAAAUCUAGCUUCACACUGACCCUAUCAUAUAGAAGGAGGAAAAUUAAAUCUGUAGGGCAUGAGAAAGAAGAGAAAAAAGUGCUGUCUUCUUGAAAAUUUUCAAGUUCCAAAUUUGAGAAGCUUCUCUGUAAACCUCCAAACUAUAGAGGGUGCAGUAACCAGAGAUUUUAUCAACCAAGUCAACAAGUAGCAUAAUAAAUGAACAUCACUAUUCUUAUUUAGCAAACUAAGGGGCAGGUUCCACUUGUGUAAUAUAGAUUCUCAUUGAAAAGAUUAUGUAAAAGAAAAAAGGGUGUGAAUUAAAGCUAGAGCUUCCUGCAAAUUGUCACGAGACUUUGUACUGAAUAUGACAAUUAACUUAAGAGCCUUUGAACCAUCUUCAAACAUAGCAUAAAAAUGUAUUGAAUUAUGAUACUUUGCACAUCCUACAUUUUCUUCAAUUCAGAAAUAAUUUGCCAUAUCCAAAUAUCACUAUUUGUCUUCUAUGGAUGUUUGCCAUAACAGUAGAUUCUUAAAAUUCUCGAUAAAGUUCAGUGAUCCUACUCCAAUUCAUGAUCCACUAGAAACCCAAUCCUUAAAAAUUGCAUUGGAUUAAUCUAAGCUCUCAUACGUAACAUAAAUGACCAACAACCAGGAAUAGUUUAGGCCACACGCUGCAAGAAUGAAGGGAAAAUGGAAAUAAGUGGGAAAAAGGGGAUGGUCAGAGGCAGCCAGUCCAAGCAUACCAUCUUCCAUUGGCUUGUACAAAUUACCCACAUGGCCACAUCCAAAUCUAAUAUCAGUGCAUCCAAAAGAAUGAAAAGAGUGACCGCCUCAAUCUAACCCACAGCUAGUUGUAGUAACAAAGCAUACAAUCCAAAAUUUAAAACACAACAAAAAAAGGUAAUGUUGUGUUGCCACAAGAUAGAGGAAACAAGGACAGCAGAGAUGAGGAAGGGGGGACAGUCAUGCUCAUAUAAAAGCUAACUUACUUGUUCACAUCUGGAUG
rnacentral:misc_RNA from 1 species